rnacentral:rRNA from 1 species
AUUGAACGCUGGCGGAAUGCUUUACACAUGCAAGUCGAACGGCAGCACGGACUUCGGUCUGGUGGCGAGUGGCGAACGGGUGAGUAAUGUAUCGGAACGUGCCCAGUCGUGGGGGAUAACGUAGUGAAAAUUACGCUAAUACCGCAUACGAUCUAUGGAUGAAAGCGGGGGAUCGCAAGACCUCGCGCGAUUGGAGCGGCCGAUAUCAGAUUAGGUAGUUGGUGGGGUAAAGGCCCACCAAGCCAACGAUCUGUAGCUGGUCUGAGAGGACGACCAGCCACACUGGAACUGAGACACGGUCCAGACUCCUAGGGGGGGCAGCAGUGGGUAAUUUUGGACAAUGGGCGAAAGCCUGAUCCAGCCAUUCCGCGUGCAGGAUGAAGGCCCUCGGGUUGUAAACUGCUUUUGUACAGAACGAAAAGGUUUCUACUAAUACUAGGAGCUCAUGACGGUACUGUAAGAAUAAGCACCGGCUAACUCCGUGCCAGCCGCCGCGGUAA